GCCUUAGUGGUGUAAUGGCCAGCACACUCGGCGCAUAUCGAGAGGUCCAUGGUUCGAGUCCUGGCGAAGGCA
rfam:Stegodyphus mimosarum contig53244, whole genome shotgun sequence.